ACAGCAGUAGCCACGGUAAUACGAAGGGUGCAAGCGUUACUCGGAAUUACUGGGCGUAAAGCGUGCGUAGGUGGUGGUUUAAGUCCGUUGUGAAAGCCCUGGGCUCAACCUGGGAAUUGCAGUGGAUACUGGGUCACUAGAGUGUGGUAGAGGAUAGUGGAAUUUCCGGUGUAGCAGUGAAAUGCGUAGAGAUCGGAAGGAACAUCUGUGGCGAAGGCGACUAUCUGGGCCAACACUGAUACUGAGGCACGAAAGCGUGGGGAGCAAACAGGAUUAGAUACCCCGGUAGUCCCUGUCUCUUAUAA
rnacentral:rRNA from 1 species